rnacentral:lncRNA from 1 species
CCUGUGUGUCGGUGACGGAGGUUUGGUCAAACAGGCAAGGUGGCCAGUCAGUUUAGACUGAGGUUUGGUCAAACAGGCAAGGUGACCAGUCAGUUUAGACUGAGGUUUGGUCAAACAGGCAAGGUGGCCAGUCAGUUUAGACUGAGGUUUGGUCAAACAGGCAAGGUGACCAGUCAGUUUAGACUGAGGUUUGGUCAAACAGGCAAGGUGGCCAGUCAGUUUAGACUGAGGUUUGGUCAAACAGGCAAGGUGGCCAGUCAGUUUAGACUGAGGUUUGGUCAAACAGGCAAGGUGGCCAGUCAGUUUAGAGUGAGAACACCACACUACUAACAAGAUUCAUAAAGAAACAUACACUGCUCCAAGUCAAU